rnacentral:rRNA from 1 species
UACGGGGGGGCAAGCGUUGUUCGGAAUUACUGGGCGUAAAGGGCUCGUAGGCGGCCAACUAAGUCAGACGUGAAAUCCCCAGGCUCAACCUGGGAACUGCGUCUGGUACUGGAUGGCUUGAAUCCGGGAGAGGGAUGCAGAAUUCCAGGUGUAGCGGUGAAAUGCGUAGAUAUCUGGAGGAAUACCGGUGGCGAAGGCGGCAUCCUGGACCGGCAUUGACGCUGAGGAGCGAAAGCCAGGGGAGCAAACGGGG